UACGUAGGGGGCAAGCGUUGUCCGGAUUUAUUGGGCGUAAAGAGCGUGUAGGCGGCUAGGUAGGUCCGUUGUGAAAACUCGAGGCUCAACCUCGAGACGUCGAUGGAAACCAUCUAGCUAGAGUCCGGAAGAGGAGAGUGGAAUUCCAGGUGUAGCGGUGAAAUGCGCAGAUAUCAGGAGGAACACCGGUGGCGAAGGCGGGUCUCUGGGCCGAUACUGACGCUGAGGAGCGAAGGCGUGGGGAGCGAACAGG
rnacentral:rRNA from 1 species